AAAGUUCUAAUCAAACAAUUUUCCUACUCUCCAGGUUAAGAGGCCUUCAUCUGGCCUCUUUAUGGACAUGGGGAUUUCAGAAUUUAUACUGACAAGUAACUUGUGCCCCCCAUGAUUUCUACCAUUGUAUGUUGGAUGUGUAUAGGGAGACUGUAGGCAGAUUCUUAGUUCCGAGGGCUACAAGGAACCACAUUCAGACCUGACAGAGAAUAUCCUUUUAUUCAGAGAUCCUGAACUUAGAGCUGUAUACGGUGAUCAGAUGGGACUUUGACUGUUUCUCUUGGAGAAGAGUGAAUGUCUUCUAUAUGCAGGAAGAGUGAAACAUAUUUGGUGACCAGAGGUAGAGUAUAGCCAAGAAUGCUACUGCUUGGCAAUAUGAGCUAUAGCUUCCGGCCUCCUUUAAAAUUAGGAGUGGUCAAUUGGCUGCAUUCUGGUCAACUGAAUAUAAAUGCAAAAGGUUUAAAGGAAAUGAUUACAGUUGCCACCAUCUCCUUGAUUAUUAAUUAAAGGCUUUUCUUCAAUUAUCA
rnacentral:lncRNA from 10 species